CGGACGGACACAGAACCACGAGCAGCG
rnacentral:piRNA from 1 species